rnacentral:rRNA from 1 species
UCCUGAGCCAGGAUCAAAGUCUAGCUAAGGAGGUGAUCCAGCCGCAGACUCUGAGCCAGGAUCGAAGUCUCGCUAAGGAGGUGAUCCAGCCGCACUGAGCCAGGAUCAAAGUCUAGCCAGGAUCAAACUCCUGAGCCAGGAUCAAAGUCUAGCCAAGGAGGUGAUCCAGCCGCACUGAGCCAGGAUCAAAGUCUAAGGAGGUGAUCCAGCCGCACUGAGCCAGGAUCAAAGUCUAGCUAAGGAGGUGAUCCAGCCGCACCUGAGCCAGGAUCAAAGUCUAGCUAAGGAGGUGAUCCAGCCGCAGACUCUGAGCCAGGAUCAAAGUCUAAGGAGGUGAUCCAAAUCGGAUCCCGGGCCCGUCGACUGCAGAGGCCUGCAUGCAAGCUUUCCCUAUAGUGAGUCGUAUUAGAGCUUGGCGUAAUCAUGGUCAUAGCUGUUUCCUGUGUGAAAUUGUUAUCCGCUCACAAUUCCACACAACAUACGAGCCGGAAGCAUAAAGUGUAAAGCCUGGGGUGCCUAAUGAGUGAGCUAACUCACAUUAAUUGCGUUGCGCUCACUGCCCGCUUUCCAGUCGGGAAACCUGUCGUGCCAGCUGCAUUAAUGAAUCGGCCAACGCGCGGGGAGAGGCGGUUUGCGUAUUGGGCGCUCUUCCGCUUCCUCGCUCACUGACUCGCUGCGCUCGGUCGUUCGGCUGCGGGCCACCGGUAUCAGCUCACUCAAAGGGGGUAAUACGGUCAUUCUUUCAAUCACGGGAUUACGCAGCAACAGAACAUGUGCGCUAAAAGGUCCGCCUAAUGGCCAGGAUUUUCUUAAAAAGUUCUCGCUGCUGGUCUUCUCUUUACAGGGAAU